UGGGGAAUUUUGGACAAUGGGCGAAAGCCUGAUCCAGCCAUGCCGCGUGUCUGAAGAAGGCCUUCGGGUUGUAAAGGACUUUUGUCAGGGAAGAAAAGGGCGGGGUUAAUACCCCUGUCUGAUGACGGUACCUGAAGAAUAAGCACCGGCUAACUACGUGCCAGCAGCCGCGGUAAUACGUAGGGUGCGAGCGUUAAUCGGAAUUACUGGGCGUAAAGCGGGCGCAGACGGUUACUUAAGCAGGAUGUGAAAUCCCCGGGCUCAACCUGGGAACUGCGUUCUGAACUGGGUGACUAGAGUGUGUCAGAGGGAGGUAGAAUCCCACGUGUAGCAGUGAAAUGCGUAGAGAUGUGGAGGAAUACCGAUGGCGAAGGCAGCCUCCUGGGAUAACACUGACGUUCAUGCCCGAAAGCGUGGGUAGCAAACAGGAUUAGAUACCCUGGUAGUCCACGCCCUAAACGAUGUCGAUUAGCUGUUGGGCAGCAUGACUGCUUAGUAGCGAAGCUAACGCGUGAAAUCGACCGCCUGGGGAGUACGGUCGCAAGAUUA
rnacentral:rRNA from 1 species